ACGAACGCUGGCGGCGUGCUUAACCCAUGCAAGUCGAACGGAAAGGCCCUGCUUUUGUGGGGUGCUCGAGUGGCGAACGGGUGAGUAACACGUGAGUAACCUGCCCUUGACUUUGGGAUAACUUCAGGAAACUGGGGCUAAUACCGGAUAGGAGCUCCUGCUGCAUGGUGGGGGUUGGAAAGUUUCGGCGGUUGGGGAUGGACUCGCGGCUUAUCAGCUUGUUGGUGGGGUAGUGGCUUACCAAGGCUUUGACGGGUAGCCGGCCUGAGAGGGUGACCGGUCACAUUGGGACUGAGAUACGGCCCAGACUCCUACGGGAGGCAGCAGUGGGGAAUAUUGCACAAUGGGCGGAAGCCUGAUGCAGCAACGCCGCGUGCGGGAUGACGGCCUUCGGGUUGUAAACCGCUUUCGCCUGUGACGAAGCGUGAGUGACGGUAAUGGGUAAAGAAGCACCGGCUAACUACGUG
rnacentral:rRNA from 1 species